rnacentral:lncRNA from 1 species
AAACCUUCCCAAGGAGGUAGAUCGAGGUAAAUUGAAAACAUAUAUUUUAAUCCCAAACAUUGUUUCAAUUCAUAUUAAAGGAAGGUGUAAGACUUUAUCAUUAUUAUUACUAUUAUUAUUUUGCUGAGGAAGAUUAGCCCUGAGCUAACAUCUGUGCCAAUCUAUCUUCCCCCACUUUAUAUGUGGGUCGCAGCACCUGCGAAGCUGCGAACCUGGGUUGCUAAAGUGGAGCGCGCUGAAUUUAACCACUACGUCAAGGGGCCAACCCCUGUUAUUAUUAUUUUCGAUCAAAAGGGAUCACAACAACAGCAAACAAACAUAUAGAUACAGAGAACAGAUUAGUGGUUACCAAAAGGGAAACGGGGUGUAGGGAAAGUGAAAGGUGUAAAGGUGCACAUGUGUAUGGUGACAGAAACUAGACUUUUGAUGGUGAACAGGAUGCAGUCUAUAGAGAAGUCGAAAUAUACUCAUGUACACCUGAAAUUUAUGUAAUAUUAUAAACCAAUGUUACCUCAAUAAAAAAAAAGCAUAACUAAAUACAUAAAUGGAUCAUGAGUUUUAAAAGUUUGAAAAGCACUAGUGAAUAGAGUCAGAAGUGCCUCCCAUUACCCACCCACUCCAAUCACCUGUCUUUGUUGCAGGGUGACUAGGCCAGCCAGGAUGGAGGAGAUCCACCUAGAGAGAGAUGGAAAUGCAUCUCUGAAACUCUGGGGCAGAAUGGCUGAUGGAGGAAGAAGUAGCCGGUUCAGUGGGUGUUUCCAGGAGCCAUCCAACAAACAAUGAGAAUUCCUGCCACAAUUGAACAAGAAAGAAGAGGGGAGGGAUCCAAUGAAAAGCAGCUUCUCAUAGUCUAGAGAAGAUGGCUUGGAGUCACUGAAAUGUGCAUAUUAAAGAAAUG